GGAAGGUGCAAGCGUUAAUCGGAAUUACUGGGGCGUAAAGCGCGCGUAGGCGGCUAGAUAAGUCGGGUGUGAAAGCCCUGGGGCUCAACCUGGGGAACUGCAUUCGAUACUGUCUAGCUAGAGUGUGGUAGAGGGAGGCGGAAUUCCGCAUGUAGCGGUGAAAUGCGUAGAGAUGCGGAGGAACACCAAUGGCGAAGGCAGCCUUCUGGACCAACACUAACGCUGAGGCGCGAAAGCGUGGGGAGCAAACAGGAUUAGAUACCCUGGUAGUCCACGCCGUAAACGAUGUCAACUAGCCGUUGGGAGCAUUUUGGCUCUUGGUGGCGCAGCUAACGCGAUAAGUUGACCGCCUGGGGAGUACGGUCGCAAGAUUA
rnacentral:rRNA from 1 species